AGAACAAUUUUCCAUUGUGAUUAUUAAAACCUGUAGAAGACAGAAACCAGCAGGCUGUUUUGAAUGAACCAGCAUAACAAUAUGCAAAUGCAUAUGCAAAACUUCCCCACGUACAACUGCAUAUAGAGAAAAAUCAGCCUCGGUCACUGUGAGCUCUGUAGAAUUUAACACUGCUUUUAGUUCAACGAUGUUCCUUCCAUUUUUGCUGCUGCUGGCAGCUUCAUCCUAUGUGGAAUGUGCAGUAGAACUCACUCAGGUCACCUCAGUGAUGUUAAAGCCAGGAGAUUCUUUAACCCUCAGCUGUAAAGUAUCCGGCUACUCUGUUACUGAUAACAGCUAUGCCACAGCUUGGAUUCGACAACCUGCAGGAAAAACUCUGGAAUGGAUAAACCACAUUUGGGGUGGUGGAGAUACUUAUCAUAAAGAUUCUCUAAAAAGCAAGUUCAGUAUUUCUAAAGACGGCUCCAGCAGCACGGUGACUCUGAGAGGACAGAAUCUGCAGACAGAAGACACAGCUGUGUAUUACUGCGCCCGCCGCCCACACACUGAUGCUUCUACUUGGGUGUCAAUACAAAAACAUGUGCGUGAUCCUCACACACUGAGCUCAUAUUUUCAUCAUCAGUGUAUUAGAUCUAAGGAACAUUGA